rnacentral:rRNA from 1 species
UACAGAGGUCCCAAGCGUUGUUCGGAUUCACUGGGCGUAAAGAGCUCGUAGGCGGUCUGACGCGUCGGCUGUGAAAACUCGGGGCUCAACUCCGAGCUUGCAGUCGAUACGGGCAGGCUAGAGUUCGGCAGGGGAGACUGGAAUUCCUGGUGUAGCGGUGAAAUGCGCAGAUAUCAGGAGGAACACCGGUGGCGAAGGCGGGUCUCUGGGCCGUUACUGACGCUGAGGAGCGAAAGCGUGGGGAGCGAACAGG